GAGGGUGUAGCUCAAGCAGUAGAGCGCAUGCUUAGCAAGUACAAGGUCCUGGGUUCAAUCCCCAGUAUCGCCU
rnacentral:tRNA from 1 species